AAUAAAAAAUACUUUUAAUUUCGACUUAAACAAUAUUGCUAUAUUUUAUUA
rnacentral:tRNA from 1 species